AUUGAACGCUGGCGGCAUGCCUUACACAUGCAAGUCGAACGGCAGCAUGAUCUAGCUUGCUAGAUUGAUGGCGAGUGGCGAACGGGUGAGUAAUACAUCGGAACGUGCCCUGUAGUGGGGGAUAACUAGUCGAAAGAUUAGCUAAUACCGCAUACGACCUGAGGGUGAAAGUGGGGGACCGCAAGGCCUCAUGCUAUAGGAGCGGCCGAUGUCUGAUUAGCUAGUUGGUGAGGUAAAGGCUCACCAAGGCGACGAUCAGUAGCUGGUCUGAGAGGACGGUCAGCCACACUGGGACUGAGACGCGGACCAGACUCCUACGGGAGGCAGCAGUGGGGAAUUUUGGACAAUGGGGGCAACCCUGAUCCAGCAAUGCCGCGUGUGUGAAGAAGGCCUUCGGGUUGUAAAGCACUUUUGUCCGGAAAGAAAUCGCACUUACUAAUAUUAGGUGUGGAUGACGGUACCGGAAGAAUAAGGACCGGCUAACUACGUGCCAGCAGCCGCCGUAAUAC
rnacentral:rRNA from 1 species